rnacentral:rRNA from 1 species
GACGAACGCUGGCGGCGUGCUUAACACAUGCAAGUCGAACGGAAAGGCCCUGCUUUUGUGGGGUGCUCGAGUGGCGAACGGGUGAGUAACACGUGAGUAACCUGCCCUUGACUUUGGGAUAACUUCAGGAAACUGGGGCUAAUACCGGAUAGGAGCUCCUGCUGCAUGGUGGGGGUUGGAAAGUUUCGGCGGUUGGGGAUGGACUCGCGGCUUAUCAGCUUGUUGGUGGGGUAGUGGCUUACCAAGGCUUUGACGGGUAGCCGGCCUGAGAGGGUGACCGGCGACCUUAGGACUGAGAUAGGGCGCAGACUCGAACGGGAGGCAGCGGUGGGGAAUAUUGCACAAUGGGCGGAAGCCUAGUGCAGCAACGCCGCGUGCGGGAUGACGGCCUUCGGGUUGUAAACCGCUUUCGCCUGUGACGGAGCGUGAGUGACGGUAAUGGGUAAAGAAGCACCGGCUAACUACGUG